rnacentral:rRNA from 1 species
GUAGGGAAUCUUCCGCAAUGGGCGCAAGCCUGACGGAGCAACGCCGCGUGAGUGAUGAAGGCCUUCGGGUUGUAAAACUCUGUCUUCUGUGAAGAACCAUCCUGUGCAGAGAAAGCUCAGGACCUGACGGUAACAGAGGAGGAAGCCCCGGCUAACUACGUGCCAGCAGCCGCGGUAAUACGUAGGGGGCAAGCGUUGUCCGGAAUCACUGGGCGUAAAGCGCGCGCAGGCGGUCUUUCACGUCCGGGGUGAAAGCCCAGAGCUCAACUCUGGGAUUGCCUUGGAUACGGGGAGACUUGAGGGUCGGAGAGGCAAGGGGAAUUCCACGUGUAGCGGUGAAAUGCGUAGAGAUGUGGAGGAACACCUGUGGCGAAGGCGCCUUGCUGGCCGACUUCUGACGCUGAGGCGCGAAAGCGUGGGGAGCAAACAGGAUUAGAAACCCGGGUAGUCC